rnacentral:rRNA from 1 species
UACGUAGGGUGCAAGCGUUGUCCGGAAUUAUUGGGCGUAAAGAGCUCGUAGGCGGUUUGUCGCGUCGAAUGUGAAAACCCGGGGCUCAACCCCGGGCCUGCAUUCGAUACGGGCAGACUAGAGUUCGGUAGGGGAGUCUGGAAUUCCUGGUGUAGCGGUGAAAUGCGCAGAUAUCAGGAGGAACACCGGUGGCGAAGGCGGGUCUCUGGGCCGUAACUGACACUGAGGCGCGACAGCGUGGGGAGCAAACAGG